rnacentral:rRNA from 1 species
GUGGGGAAUAUUGCGCAAUGGGCGAAAGCCUGACGCAGCAACGCCGCGUGGGUGAUGAAGGCCUUCGGGUUGUAAAGCCCUGUCGCCCGGGACGAAUAAGCUCGUGAAGAACGAGCCCUGACGGUACCGGGAGAGGAAGCACCGGCUAACUCUGUGCCAGCAGCCGCGGUAAUACAGAGGGUGCUAGCGUUGUUCGGAAUUAUUGGGCGUAAAGGGCGCGUAGGCGGUCUCGCAUGUCGAAUGUGAAAGCCCACCUCUUAAAGGUGGAAUUGCAUUCGAAACUGCGAGACUAGAGUGCCGGAGAGGGUGGUGGAAUUCCUGGUGUAGAGGUGAAAUUCGUAGAUAUCAGGAGGAACACCGGUGGCGAAGGCGGCCACCUGGACGGUAACUGACGCUGAGGCGCGAAAGCGUGGGGAGCAAACAGGAUUAGAAACCCGAGUAGUCC